GACGGGGGAUGCAAGCGCUAUCCGGAAUCACUGGGCGUAAAGCGUCUGUAGGUGGUGAUGCAAGUCACUGGUGCAAAACUCUGGCUCAACCGGAGGAAAGCCAGUGAAACUGCAUGACUAGAGUGUGGGAGAGGUAGAAGGAAUUCCCUGAGUAGCGGUGAAAUGCGUAGAUACAGGGAAGAACACCGGAGGCGAAAGCGUUCUACUGGAACACAACUGACAUUGAGAGACGAAAGCUAGGGGCGCGAAUGGG
rnacentral:rRNA from 1 species